rnacentral:rRNA from 1 species
UACGUAGGGUGCAAGCGUUAAUCGGAAUUACUGGGCGUAAAGCGUGCGCAGGCGGUUUUGUAAGUCUGUCGUGAAAUCCCCGGGCUCAACCUGGGAAUUGCGAUGGAGACUGCAAGGCUAGAAUCUGGCAGAGGGGGGGUAGAAUUCCACGUGUAGCAGUGAAAUGCGUAGAGAUGUGGAGGAACACCGAUGGCGAAGGCAGCCCCCUGGGUCAAGAUUGACGCUCAUGCACGAAA